rnacentral:misc_RNA from 1 species
ACCACAAAACAACUUUACCAGGCACAGAAGCAAACUGGAAAAACAAAACCUCAGGUUUCCAGAAUGUCCUAAAAGAACUAAUCUUUGCAGCAUUCGCUCACAGGAAAGAAGUUGAAGACAACAAAAGCAGAGAAUUUUUACAGUAUGAUGAUAUAAGACAAUCGCAUAGAAGACACUGCACAUGCAAAGAUUUUGUAACAGUUGCUAGGUGUGCAAAGCCAUGAAUAAGUUCUGCUUACGAGC